AAUAGAUACCCUGGUAGUCCACGCCGUAAACGAUGAGUGCUAAGUGUUAGAGGGUUUCCGCCCUUUAGUGCUGCAGCAAACGCAUUAAGCACUCCGCCGUGGGGAGUACGGUCGCAAGACUGAAACUCAAAGGAAUUGACGGGGGCCCGCACAAGCGGUGGAGCAUGUGGUUUAAUUCGAAGCAACGCGAAGAACCUUACCAGGUCUUGACACCCUCUGACACCCUAGAGAUAGGGCUCCCCCGUUCGGGGGCAGAGUGACAGGUGGUGCAUGGUUGUCGUUAGCUCGUGUCGUGAGAUGUUGGGUUAAGUCCCGCAACGAGCGCAACCCUUGAUCUUAGUUGCCAGCAUUCAGUUGGGCACUCUAAGGUGACUGCCGGUGACAAACCGGAGGAAGGUGGGGAUGACGUCAAAUCAUCAUGCCCCUUAUGACCUGGGCUACACACGUGCUACAAUGGGCAGAACAAAGGGCAGCGAAGCCGCGAGGCUAAGCCAAUCCCACAAAUCUGUUCUCAGUUCGGAUCGCAGU
rnacentral:rRNA from 1 species